rnacentral:tRNA from 1 species
GCGGGGAUGCCGGAGCGGUCAAACGGGCCAGGCUCAGAACCUGGUGGCUUAGUGCCUGCACAGGUUCGAAUCCUGUUCCCCGCA